CCCAAGAACCUUAUCACUACCUCCUUCCAUAGGCCGUGUAUAUAGAUGCAGCAGCGGGGGAUGAAGAUAGCUAACGGUUGCUAUUUAAAUCUGGUCCAAACUGACAGCCCAACGGUCGUCUAACUGACUUAAAACGUAUUUAUAAGACCCGCUCUGUUAUCUAACUAAUACUGGCAGUUACAUUAAUGUUUCCCUCUACAUCUAAAACAACAACAGGCCAGCCAGCUAACAACAUAGCUGUAUUAAAUGUAAAGGAAAAGAAAGAAAGGCCUCUGAAUCUCAUCCCGACAUUGCUUCGUUGUGGAAACAAGACAACAGAAGAGAAAAAUAGCGACAGACAUCCCGAACAAACCCCGCGGUAAGAAGAGAAACAACGAAGACGGCGGUGAACUAUUUCGGAUGAAGCUGGUCCUGAGCCUGGUUGUGCGAUACAGUCUUCCAGACAGGUAGAACAGUUUGUGGGUUGAUCUUCUUCCUACACUGCUGGGUGUAGAGGUUCUCCAUGGAUGGCAGCUCCGUCAUGGUGAUGUGCUGUGCUGUGCAGUUUUCACCAGUCUCCGUAGAGCCUUAAGCUUGAGGGCGGUGCAACUACCAUGCCAGGGGGUGAUGCAGGCGGUCAGGAUACUCUUGACGGUGCACCUGUAGAAGUUAAAGAGUGUCCUGGAGUCCAUGUUGAACCUCCUCAGCAUACGGAGGAAGAAGUGCCAAUGUUUUGUCUAAAUUAGCAGUGAAAUAUUUGAAUUCAAGAAGAA